GACGGACGCUGGCGGCGUGCUUAACACAUGCAAGUCGAACGGAAAGGCCCUGCUUUUGUGGGGUGCUCGAGUGGCGAACGGGUGAGUAACACGUGAGUAACCUGCCCUUGACUUUGGGAUAACUUCAGGAAACUGGGGCUAAUACCGGAUAGGAGCUCCUGCUGCAUGGUGGGGGUUGGAAAGUUUCGGCGGUUGGGGAUGGACUCGCGGCUUAUCAGCUUGUUGGUGGGGUAGUGGCUUACCAAGGCUUUGACGGGUAGCCGGCCUGAGAGGGUGACCAGCCACAUUGGGACUGAGAUACGGCCCAGACUCCUACGGGAGGCAGCAGUGGGGAAUAUUGCACAAUGGGCGGAAGCCUGAUGCAGCAACGCCGCGUGCGGGAUGACGGCCUUCGGGUUGUAAACCGCUUUCGCCUGUGACGAAGCGUGAGUGACGGUAAUGGGUAAAGAAGCACCGGCUAACUACGUG
rnacentral:rRNA from 1 species